CUCGGGGUGGGGUGAUCAGAGGUCUCUGAGGCAAUGAUCUGGAAGCUGCCACCUACAAGAUAAAGAGUAAGCAAGAUAGAGACAGCAGGAAUGAGCUCUCCGACGGAGGGCAUGAACAGCAAGUGCAAAGGCCCUGCGACUCGAAAGAGCAUGAAAGACUGAGGAAGCGGCCAGUGUGGCUCCAACACAGUGGAGGAGUGGGGGGAUCCUACUGAGAUAGAGGCCCUGGGCUGAAUAAUUCUCAUCCUUCAAGGCCCAACUCCAGCCAAUGGCACCGACCUCCUGGACCUGCUAGGCAGAAGUGGUGGCUCCCUCUCAGCUGACCCCAGAGCACUUCCUUAGCUCCUGCUGAUCUCAGAGCACACACACCAAUCCACUCUGGCCACUCAGCAAUUUUUCUUGAUGGCCCUGGCAUGGCACCUAUGCUGGGGUCAGACCCUCAACCAGCCCUUCAGUGUUGAAAUGCACAACCUCAGCCCUCUAGCCUCAGCGGAGGAAGCAGGGCUCUUCAGUUUGGGAGAACCAUAUACAACCAGAAGGGGCCAAAAUAUCUGAAGCCCUCAGGUAGCGGGGCUAAAAGAAAGGGAUAAAUGGCCUCUUCUGUUUUUAUUUCUUUGUUUGUUUUUGUUUUUACUGGAAACAACUCUAAGGGGAGACUGGUCCCAGGGAAGAUGAUCCCCUGAAAGGCUAGUAAGCAGAUCACCUUUGAAUGUCAAGGGCAAAAUCAUUGUUGGUGUCCUGUGCUCCCUCCAGGAGCUGGCUCCUCCACAGCUCUCAGGAAUGACAGUAAACACAGACGGCCCUGCAUGUAUUCCGGCUAUGGCUGCCUUCCUCCUGGGCUGCACAUCAGGCUAACAAGCCCAGCCCUCAGCUUCACAGGGAUUGGAGAGCUGGUGACCCUAGUCAAGGAAGCUGGUGACCCUGGAUCAGUUGCCUCCCCUCUCUGUGCCUAAAUCCCCCACCCCACUUCUGUCAAUUAGGAGGAUGAUGCCUUCUUCAAAGUGUUGUCAUAAAGAUUAAAUCCUUAUUAAAGUCUGCUUUGGUUUUUGUUUUUGUUUUUUUUUUGAGAGUCUCACUCUGUCGCCCAGGCUGGAGUGCAUCUUGGCUCACUACAACCUCC
rnacentral:lncRNA from 1 species